rnacentral:rRNA from 1 species
GAUGAACGCUGGCGGCGUGCUUAACACAUGCAAGUCGAACGCUGAAGCCCAGCUUGCUGGGUGGAUUAGUGGCGAACGGGUGAGUAACACGUGAGUAACCUGCCCUUAACUCUGGGAUAAGCCUGGGAAACUGGGUCUAAUACCGGAUAGGAGCGUCAACCGCAUGGUGGGUGUUGGAAAGAUUUAUCGGUUUUGGAUGGACUCGCGGCCUAUCAGCUGGUUGGUGCGGCAAUGGAUCACCAAGGCGACGACGGGUAGCCGGCCUGAAAGGGGGACGGACAACACUAGGAAUGAGACACGGCCCAUACUCCUACGGGAGUCAUGAGUGGGUAAUAUUGCACGAUGGACGAAAGCCUGAUGCGGCGACGCCGCGUGAGGGAGGACGGCCUUCGGGUUGUAAACCUCUUUCGGUAGGGAAUAAGCGAAAGUGACGGUACCUGCAGAAGAAGCGCCGGCUAAGUACGUGCCAGCCGCCGCCGUAA